CCCACCUUCUGGCCAGGUCUGUUCCCAGGCUGGGAAGCGUUUGGUCCACGCAAGGCAGUGACAAGUGCUGGGGAAGCUGGGCUGCUGGAGGACCUGACUCAGAAUGCAAUUCAGGAAAGGCAGUGGCUGUGAACCUAAGCUCUGCACUAGCCCAGGGCACACUGCCUUGCCCCUCUAUGCCUCAGUCUCCCCACUGGUAACAGAACUGACCCCUCUAAGCUGCUGGCACUGUUGGCAGUGAUGUGCAUGGGGUGAGGGUGGGUGCUGGAGGUGAUGAGAGGCUGCAGCCGUGAGCCCUUGCCCACUGUGCCAGGACUUGAUUCGGGGGCUGCUGCAGCUGCACCCAAACGCAUGCCUGGGCCUGCAGCAGGUGGCUGCACACUGCUGGAUGCUGCCUGCAGCGAACACGCUCUUCCUCAGUGCUGUGCCAGGUGUAGUGUGGCCCUGUGGGUGAGCAACUGAGCAGCACGUGGUCCCUCUGCACUCCACCUGACCCCACUGUGGCCCCUUG
rnacentral:lncRNA from 1 species